GGCGGCCUUUUCUCUUCUCCUUUCGAACAACGUGGUUGCCCUUCUCAAGUUCUCAUGUGUAAUCGACUAAUCAAACUCGUCACGCUCUUGAUUGUGGAAAUCAAUGAUUUGGCCCUUUUUACUUCCACUCGUGCAUACGCUGAUUAUGGUAUGACCACAAGCGGUUGUUCUUUCGACGAAGACGUCUCUCAAGUUCUAGAUUUAAACUUCCAGUUUACUGGGAAUCGUGGAAGGAUUUGUGUGUACUCUUUGUGAACACCAGGACCAAGUAUGCAAUGGAUUCAAGAAAAUUGUUAGUGGUGAAAUGCAGAGACAAUAUUGUUGCUGUAGCGGCAGGAGGAGAUCAAAUGGGAUUUGUGCCCUGGCCCACCCCUAGCCUUUAGGCCCACCAUUAAAGGUGUUAAUCUUAAUCUUAUUCCUACUCUCAAUAACUACAGUUAUUUUAUUGCUUCCAGAUGGUGGUGAUUUGCUGCUAGAUUCGGCAGCUCAAGAUACACUUUUAUUUGUGUCAUUGUGUGGGGAGAAUUCGCUCAGUAGUCAGCAAGGAUGUAAUGCCCGGCGGAGCCUAUUGGCUUGUGUAUUCACUGUAAGCUGGGUCCUACAAGGAUCAGCCUCAGUCAGAUGGUAGAAAAUUAACCCUUCAAUUCAUUCAGGCAAUGGAAACUAAGUGAACAGCCUCCAUUGGCAGUGGCCCAUAUUCAAAAGUGUUAUCGGAACAAAUCUCUUGGAGGUACUCUUCUGUUGCAUGAGCAAAACUAUGACGAUCCUUCCAGCGGUAUUUAGAAUGAUCCAAGUCCGUGUGAUUGGGUAAAAUCGUUGGAAACAUAUUAGGCCUUUACGGUUGUAGAACAGGAAUCAGCUUCAUCUCAGUUCAUGGAUAUCAGGACCCGCUUUAUCACUUAAUAAUCAGUGACACGACGUUGAGGCUGCCGAAGUGAAUCUGAAAAUGUGAACUUCUCCUCUGCAACGGCCAGUUGUGAUGUGGCCCUGCAGUAUUUUAUUUGACCAACGACAAGAAAGUGCGCGUUUUCAACACGACGGAUCACCAGGGACCGAAAUUGGCCGCCUUUUUCGAAGAAGUCGCAUGUUUGACGAAAUGAAAUGUCAGAAGAAAUGGCGCGGCCAGCCGUUCCUCUUUUGGUGUCGUCGUACCGCCUUAGGAAUCCCAACUCAACCGUCGUCAAGGCUUCACACUGCGUGAAUUUCGUCGACACUGUUCAUGAGUCAACAUGUAUCGUUUUCUCUUAGAUUAAUGAAAAGCAAUUCCAAAUCUCACACGGCAACCAUUACCAGCCCCCUUCAAAGAAAGGAUUCACCGUCAACCUCCUGUCACUCAAAUUUAUCCUAGAUAUCCUGAUUCAGGCACCUUUAAAAUAUGGAACUUCGCUUUAGGUCUUAAGCCACGUCAACCUAUCACUUGGAGUUGGAUCCUAUAGUGCAGUCCAUUUAGGAAUAUGUUGGAUAUCACUAGGUGGCUAAAAUUAUGUCUGCUAGAUGGCGUGAGUGUCUUCGUUACUCAAGACGAAAUUCUGCCAUUUCUUAAAACACUGAUUGGAAACCACAUGUUGAAAACGUAUCGUUGGAUUGGAUACUUAAUACGGCGUACUUUUCUUUCUUGACAUUUCUAUUCGUAAUAAUGGUAUUUAUCUGGUAACAGCCUAUAAUUUCUACAUGACAAUUUCAUCUGAUCAUGUGGCCUUAGUAGCUGAACAUUUUGCCAAAAUGUCGUCUCUUUUUCCUGUACCAGCUUCACGUUUGUCGGAUACAAUUCAGAACAAUUCGGGAUUAACACCCUGGUGGAGUUUGAGCUUCUUUGUUGCUGCCCAACUUUCACAUGGAUUUGAUGCAGCCAGCUGAGGGCUUUAACUCUGGUUUAGCGUCUAUAUUGGUGUAGUUGCUGUCCGAUGUGGCACGUUGUUGCAGCCUAUACUGGUGAAAGAUCUUUCGACAUCAAGCUCAAUUGGCCGUUCCUUGGUGCUGAAUUGCUGAUGCUGUGUUGCCGAAGUUGCAUCAUAUUUUGUUAAAUUGUCAUCGUGACUAUUGCAGUUUACCGUUUAUAAGUUCAGAAGCAACAAAAACAAAUGUGGGAUGUUUAUGUCAACAAAUAAUAAACGUGUUUCCAGGAUUGGGAAAGGAAAGUGGAGGAUGUUGGAGGGGGGAGGGAGGAUAUUUUAAGUUUUUAUAAAAACUCAGUUAAUCUAUAACCCUACAAACGUACCCCUACCAAUUAAUAAUCUCCAA
rnacentral:lncRNA from 1 species